CGCCCUUCUCUUCUGCUCCACCUACUCAUGAUUUCAGUGAAGAGAACAACCCUAAAGGUAAUUGGGCUAAGAAGAUCACCAAUAUUUUGGCCCUGGACCUCCAAGAUCAUCAAAGAUCCAAGGAAUGCGUGGCAGCAUUUACCAACCCCGACAGUCAUGGAACUCAUCAUGGUGGGGUACCAGCCACUGUGGCAAGGAAGAAAACCCCACCUACCACUGCCCCCAUCAGAUCCAGGUUUAAACCCCAACCUUUGCCCCUUGGUCAGCUUGAAGCAGCUCCAGAAGAAGAGAUCUUCACCCAACAACCA